rnacentral:rRNA from 1 species
UACGUAGGGUGCGAGCGUUAAUCGGAAUUACUGGGCGUAAAGCGUGCGCAGGCGGCGCGUUAAGACAGGUGUGAAAGCCCCGGGCUUAACUUGGGAAUUGCGCUUGUGACUGGCGUGCUGGAGUGUGGCAGAGGGAGGUGGAAUUCCACGUGUAGCAGUGAAAUGCGUAGAGAUGUGGAGGAACACCGAAGGCGAAGGCAGCGUCCUGGGCCGGCACUGACGCUCAUGCACGAAAGCGUGGGGAGCAAACAGG